rfam:Canis lupus familiaris chromosome 12, whole genome shotgun sequence.
GGAAAUGAGGGCAAGCUGGCUAUGACAUCUGUCACCCCAUGAUAACUAGGGUUGAUUCAGCUGACCUGGUUGAGUAGGCAGGUGUCCCCUUCCUUCACUCUUCCAGGUGUGUCCCUCCCAAAGCUGUGUGCUUGAUCAGAGCAGCGACCUUCUACAAUAGAGGAGGACCAUUUUUUGGUCAGAGAUAAAUGAUUAGCCUAUAUUCCCCUGCUAGAAUCUCCAACAAACUUUUUAAAUUUUGUGAAUUACAUAAUACGAUUUCAAAGAGAAGGAAACAUUUGGAAAAUAACCUUU